GAUGAGAACGUAGCGAAAUGCGAUAAGUAAUGUGAAUUGCAGAAUUCAGUGAAUCAUCGAAUCUUUGAACGCACAUUGCGCCCGCCAGUAUUCUGGCGGGCAUGCCUGUUCGAGCGUCUUUUCAACCAUCAAGCCCCCGGCUUGUGUUGGGGACCUGCGGCUGCCGCAGGCCCUGAAAACCAGUGGCGGGCUCGCUAGUCACUCCGAGCGUAGUAAUACAUCUCGCUCAGGGCGUGCUGCGGGUUCCGGCCGUUAAAAAGCCUUAUUUACCCAAGGUUGACCUCGGAUCAGGUAGGAAGACCCGCUGAACUUAAGCAUAUCAAUAAGCGGAGGA
rnacentral:misc_RNA from 1 species